GUGGAGGAACCACAGACUGAGCCACAACAGAUUGGUUCCAACAGGCGUGUGGGUGGUAUUUGUACUGACUACAGUCGUCCUAGUCAAGUCCAUGGCAACGCUUCAUCGUAAGAAAGUCAAGACAGCAAAGGUGGGUUACACCCUCAGCAGCUGACUCUAUCCCAGUCAUCAAGUCCAGUGGCUUAGUCUGGGGCCGUUUCCAGAGACAUCGGUGAUGAAAUGUCUUGGAGGACGAGUGUUGCUGGCGACCAGCGCUUGACUAUAAGGCUAGCUGCUGUGUUGUUGUCUGUGGAGCUGAUGGAGCUGUGGAACCUGUCACAUCAAAGUGUGUCAGAUGGCGACCACGCUCACCACGUGGCACAACAGCUGUCAACAGCGUCAUUCUGAGGGUUGAGUAAAUAUUUACAACAUCAGGCGGCAGUGAAAUCAAUAUUCGGCAAAUUAUUGAACUCUUACAUCCUGUUAGCUUUAUUGACCUCAUUCGCACCUCUGUACUUCGCCAGGUUGACUCGGCAGUUCCCAGGCCUUAGUCUGUAAACUAGAGUAAUAAACUGUACCUGCAAACUUUAUAUAUAUAAACAACCAAGUCUUUCCCUUGAUUCAUAAACAACUCUGUAACAAGCACCGCAAGUCCGGCUCGUUAGUGUAGCGCCAUGUGAGGCUGCUGCUAAGCCACCUGGCGGCGCUGCUGUCAGUUCACCGUUAGAAGAAAAUUCAAAUAAUAAUAAAAAUGUCGCCCUGUGAGCCACUCAGCUACAGUCAGGGGAGGCCACCGUAUGACACGACUCAGCUCGCGGUGACUCACCGUGCCACCCUCCGCCCUCCUGACCUCCAACCCACGGCACGCGGAGGGGAAGGGGGAGACGGCGCCAUUUUGUGCGUGUGCUUCCUGUCAACGCUUUCUCAACACUUGGCCAAACAAACCUGUUGGUGGCUGAUGUCCCCGCGCGCCCCUCACAUCCACAGGGUGUCGGCCCCUCAGCACGAGACUACUCCCUCCCUCUACAGCCUCACAAACAUUCCUUUCCUCCUCAUCCCUCCUCCUAUCUCCAGAAGCUGACAUGCCUCUCGUUUUGAAAUAUAGUGAGUGUGGAGUGUUCAUUUUAUCCCCCCUCAAAAUAAAGACGUGAACUCUUCAGCACUGGGCUUGAACCUCAAAGAUGAGCGACACAGCAAACGAUAACACGUGACAGGACGCCGCCAUAGGUGGCAGUGUAGUCGCUGUACUACAUCAGUCGAUCGUCAAACGCUCGGGCCAGCAACAUCUGUGACAGCGAGUGACACAGACGCCAUCAGAAAUGUCUACACGUCACGUGUUACGUGGCGAUGCAGUCACAUGCUCUUAUCACAUCUACAUCCAAUAUGGCGGGGCAGGUAGGCACAGCAGCCUGUGCUUUGUAAAGCAGCGGUGAUGCCCUCAGCCACACGAUUUGCUUGCUCGCUCCCUUCCUCCUCCCUGUCUUUGUCUCUUACAGUCUACUCUCCAGUUACGAAAUGCACGUGUAUAAAACAUCGUAUUCGCACAGCAGUAUGGGAACUGUAGCAAUCCUUACUUGGAAUUUGGGCAGAUCCGUCAUCCAGAGCUCUCAGCCCCUAGUGGGCAGCUGAAACGAGACGCACAGCAGCUCUUCGGCUGUCUCUCUCUUUAUGACAGCAGCAGUCCGGCGGGUCCCUGCACACUGCGGCUUGUCAAGAAACGAGGAGGCAGACGAACUCAUCAAGUGUGGCAGCAGUCAGGAGCAGCUAAAGCAGGCAAACCCUGACAUCGCAGCCAAGGCUGUAGUCACGCAUCACUAAAGGGCUGGUGGUCAAGUAAACAAAAUCUGUCGCCAACAACAAUCAUCUUCCGCCUGCACACUGGACACAUGUAACAGUUGCGGCUGUCACACACUGAACACUGCACAUGCAAGACAGACCCACAGACCACUGAGCAUGUCCUGCAGCUGAUAGACACAGAAGAACUGUGGCCUCAUGGAAAACGUGUAAAAAAAACAUUUUUCAUAACUACAGAAAAACCCGAAGUCUUUCUGUCUGCCAUUAUAUCAAUGUUGUCUGCAAAGCGCAGGUUGUGCCUCCCACUGAUGGGCAGGAAAGUUAGGUGGCCAUAAAGGGUUUGUCUAUGAUGUUCUGCCAAACGGGCGAGAAGGAUCACAGAUAACGGACAAAGACUGAUGUCCGAAAGAAGUCUCUCUUCUUAGUUCUUGAGUAUACUGCACUCACUGGACUCUUGCAUAGCGCCUCAAUGUCGAAGUUUCGCAUCACAUGCCUCAAACUUUCCCUCAUACUAAACACACAUGACUGACUUACACACACGUGGUCUCUGUAAUGCAACACAUUCAACACACACGUGGCUGACUGUACAUGCUACAUUACCUACAUACUAAAUAGUAUGUUGAGUGUAUACACACGUGACUACUUUUAAAAACACACUUGGCGGACUGAACACAAGUGUGAUGUCGAUUAAACAUGUAAUAGUUGUGUGUAAUGUGUCUACACACAUUAGAUUGUUCCCCAAAGCCAUGUUAACAAACAUAACAACACCAUGAUGAAUGGCGAUGAAUGUCAUGAUGAAUGUGUCAGGAUGUAGGUAUAGGAUGUGCCCUAACGACGAAUGUAUACUUGGUGUCAUAAUAAUUGGACAGGAUGAGUCAUCACAGCGACAGAAGAAAAAAGUGUUAUCUGUACAACACCUCAAUUUAUUCAUCAGAAAAUAAAAUCAUUGUUUGUGCUGUC
rnacentral:lncRNA from 1 species